UAAGGAAUAGUUUAAAAAAUACAUACCUUGGAAGUAUGAGAUCAGGAAAUUCCUGUUCCUUAA
rnacentral:tRNA from 1 species